CGUGCGCGCCGAGACGCGAGGGCUUAUGGGUAGCAGGAGCGCUAGGGGAAGCCUGGCCGGCGUCGGGCCCCCGGGGGCAUCCGCGAGCUAUCGGCGGUUGGACCGGCGGCUCUGGGUGGCGUUCCGGACGCGGAUCUGGCGCCGAAGUUCUCACGAGACCUGAUACCUUCCUUAUUUGUAUAUUCUCUUACUUAAAAAGCCAGAUGUCUUUUUUUUUUUUUUCAUUGAAAAGAGAAAAUUGACAACGUAAACGGUCGUUUGGAGGGGCCACCUGGGGACGCGGCCCGAGCCCUGGCUCUACCUGAAGAAUAUCUUCUAUUUGCCACACUUCCUCUCCCCGUUUCCUUUCUUCGCCCCUCUCCUCUUUCCCCUUCCCCUCGAAGGUAAUGAGAACUACUGGACCGAUUACGCUAACCUCUUGGCCCUUUGUCAAAAAAUGGAGCCAAAAAGGUUGAUUUAGACAGACCCCCUGCUCAGUGCAGCACCUGUUAUUCUCUGUAUUUAUAUUACCAAGGGCCUUCGGUAAAUUAUGAAAAAUAGGAUGCCACCUGGGACAACACUGCUUAGACAGCACUGGAAGACCUUUAUAAAUAUACUAGGUUGCUUUUCUCCAAUCAGCCUAGCCUUGAUUUGAAAUUCAUUUUUAUUUUUUUUGAGACGGUGAAAUUCAUUUUUAAAAGAUAGUUUUAACCUCAGCGAUCUCUGAUGUUUGCGCUAAUACCCUUUUAAAGGCUUUCAGAAAUUUUAAGGAAUUGCUAUGAAAGGAAAAGUAACAUUCUAGUUUUUCUCUGUAAAAGAGGUUCACAAACGGCAGAUCGCUGUUAUGAAAAGAAGGGGUGGAAGUAUUUAAGGAAUUGUGGCAAACAAAGUCACAGAAGAAUGGAUAUAAGCAAAAGUAGCACACUGAAAAAAAUGGGGAAAAGUGGAGUCUAGAUCACAAACUGAUAAGCUUGGUGAUGUUCUCUAGCCAAAUUCGAAGGUAAUAACAUUGUAUUAUGGCUUUCUGUUUAAAAGCAGUUUCGCUUAUUUGAUUAUUCAACAAAUCUUUAUUAACACGCAUUACGUGUACCAGAAACUGUGGUACACUUAACUGUGGAGCUGGGGAAGCAAAAGUGAACAUGCCGCCUUAAGUGAGUUCAGAUGGCUUAUCUUCCGGUUGGGGAGGCAUCAAGUACACAGGUCCGUUGUAAACCAGUGUCUUAAGUGCUAACCUUAUCACAUUUGCUAUUAGAGGAUAUUAAACAUGUUAGACUUCUUGGAGAAAGUUGAUACUUUCACGUUCCAAGUUUGGGAACAUCAUUGAAUUCAGACAGAUCUGGAUUGAAACAGAUUAAAGUGCCUACACUUUAAUA
rnacentral:antisense_RNA from 1 species